CAGAACCAGGAGCAGCAGCAGGAUCACCCCCUGCUCAUAUAAAACCUGCCAUUAGGGACCCUCUCCCCUGCUGUCGUUUAUCAGAGGGAAGCAAUUUAAGGGAAGAGGAAGACUGGAAACAGGUCCCACUCAGCAUCGCAGGCAACCCCCAUCCUGACCUACCUCAGUUCCCCAGGUGCCCCUUCAUAAUAGGUUUGAGGCUCUGGAACUUGAAGAAGUAAAUGAGGAUGUGUUUACUUCAGCAGCAAUGACGUCACUGACAGAAGACUGGGGAUUAUCAAAAAGGACUUCAGGACUGGGGAGGUUACUGUAAAUUGUGGCUUUUGAAAUUUUAUUCAAUAAUUACUGAAGUACACUCUGAUCCUUACGGAUUUCUCCACUUUUAACUUUAUGAUGGUGAGUAGCUUCACUUUAAUGGUUUAAAAGACAUGUACAAAUGUAAAUUUCUGCAGGACUGGGA